rnacentral:rRNA from 1 species
GCUGGCGGCACGCCUAACACAUGCAAGUCGAACGAAGUAGCAAUACUUAGUGGCAGACGGGUGAGUAACAUGUAGGUAUCUGCCCUUUGGCCCGGAAUAACACGAGGAAACUUGUGCUAAUACCGGAUAAGUCUUUACGGAGAAAGCUUUAUGCACCAUUGGAUGAGCCUGCACUUGAUUAGUUUGUUGGUGGGGUAAUGGCCUACCAAGACUGUGAUCAAUAGCUGAUUUGAGAGGAUGAUCAGCCACAUUGGGACUGAGACACGGCCCAAACUCCUACGGGAGGCAGCAGUGGGGAAUCUUGCACAAUGGAGGAAACUCUGAUGCAGCGAUGCCGCGUGAGUGAAGAAGGCCUUUGGGUUGUAAAGCUCUUUCGUCGGGGAAGAAAAUGACUGUACCCGAAUAAGAAGGUCCGGCUAACUUCGUGCCAGCAGCCGCGGUAAUACGAAGGGACCUAGCGUAGUUCGGAAUUACUGGGCUUAAAGAGUUCGUAGGUGGUUGAAAAAGUUGGUGGUGAAAUCCCAGAGCUUAACUCUGGAACUGCCAUCAAAACUUUUCAGCUAGAGUAUGAUAGAGGAAAGCAGAAUUUCUAGUGUAGAGGUGAAAUUCGUAGAUAUUAGAAAGAAUACCAAUUGCGAAGGCAGCUUUCUGGAUCAUUACUGACACUGAGGAACGAAAGCAUGGGUAGCGAAGAGGAUUAGAUACCCUCGUAGUCCAUGCCGUAAACGAUGUGUGUUAGACGUUGGAAAUUUAUUUUCAGUGUCGCAGCGAAAGCGAUAAACACACCGCCUGGGGAGUACGA